GAACACGUCAAGCUCGGUGUCUCCGCUCCCCCAGCAAGGGCCUUCCACACAUCAGCUACGUCUCUAGUCCCCACUCCUGGCUUUUUAGUCCUUGUCCCCUCUGGACAACCCCCCUCACCCGCACACCACACUCCUCACUCUCCGCAUAUGACCUGACCUGGGUGGGAGAGAAAAAGGCCUUUUGGCGGGGGUGGGAAGUACUCCACCAACUUACUGCCCCUCUCUUUUUUUAAAACAGCUUAAUGAGGUGUAAUUUCCAUGCCAUAAAAUUCCUCCGUGGACGUGUACAAUUUACUGAUAUUUGCUGUUUUGAGAGACUUGUGCAGUCAUCACCCCGUUCUAAUCUUUGAGUCAUGUACCAUUCCUAUCCCAAGCCCUAGGCAUCCACGAAUCUACGUUCUAUCUCUACAGGUUUGCCUUUUCUGGACAUUUCGCGUAAAUGGAGUCGCACAACGCGUAAUCUUUUGUGUCUGACUUCUUUUUCGGGUUCGUCCAUGUUGCAGCCUGCAACAGAAGCUGGUUCCAUUUUAUUGCAAAAUGCUCUCGCAUCGUAUGGGUAAAACACAUUUUGUUUAUUCACUAGGUGACGGACAUGUGAGUUGUUUUUGCUCUUUGGCUGUGAGGAGUGAUGCUGCUGUGAACGUUUGCAUACACAUCUUUGUGCGGAUAUAUAUUUUUACGCCUCUUGGGCAGAUGCCUAGGAACUCGCCCCAAUCUUACGAGCUGAUCUGGAUCCUUCUCUCCUUCCUCUCCAGUAUCAGUGAAUGAGGUGUCUCUCCUCCGAUUACAGUAGAACUCUCCAGCUAUGCUCUGCAUUAUCCCCUUUCCUGCUGCCUGAUGGGUCUUGCUCUGUCUGUCCCCCCUUCUCUCUCACUGCCAGUAUUCUCCUCCAUAAAAUGAGGAUAACAGUAAGGUCCACCUCCUGGCGUUUUGUGAGGAUUAAAUGAGUUCAGUGGAUUGAUUCUGAGGUCCCUCAAGAUCCCCAUCUCCUCCUGUUCAGGCCUUCGUGAAAUCCCCUGGCAUGAGUAGAGGCGAGACCUGUGACUUGCUCCUCUAACCAAUGGCAUAUGGCAAAGGUGAUGGGAUGUCACUCCCAUAAUUAUGUCACAUUACAUAAGACUCUGUCUUAGAAGACUCGAGGUACAGACUUUCCUUGCUGGCUUCAUGAAGUAAUCAGGCACACUGGGGAACCCUGGGCAUCCUCCAGAGAUUGCAGGUGGCCUCUAGGACCUCAGAGGAGCCUCUAGCCAAUGGCCACCAAGACUCCACAGCCCCAGCACUACAACCACAAGAAAAUGAAUUAUGCUGACAAUCUGAGUGAGUGUAGAAGUGAAGUCUGCCCCAGUUGAGCCUCCAGAUGAGAAUUCAACCCAGCUGUCACCUCGACUGUAAGCUUUGAGACCCAGAGCAGAGGACCCAACUCUGCCAUAUCAGGAUUCCUGACCUGCAGAAACUAUAAGAUGAUAAAUAUGUGUUGUUGCAAGCUGCCGAGUUUGUGGCGAUUUGUUCCAUAGUAACAGAAAACAAAUGCAUACAUAAAGAGCUUAGAGAAGAGCCUAGCACCACCAGCAGCCCCUAAGAGUGUUAGUGGAUGCUCACGGCAGUACCAGAUCAGCAAUUUUCCCCUAGAUUAUAACCGAGCAAAGCCCAUCUCAAGCAAUCAACAGAAAACAAGUGAGCCUUUAUUUUCCAUCCCUGACAAAUUCCUUCCAAGAGUUUUCUGUAUUCAUUUCUUGCCCUUCUAUUCACUCUCAUUUUGCUGCAAUUUAAUUCCUCCGCUUCCUCGACUCCACUGAAGCUGUUCUCCUCGAGGUCACCAAUAAUCUCCUAGUUACUAAAUCUGCUGAAUGAUUUGUGUCCUUCCUGUACUUGACUCCCCUUUGGCCCUUGAUGUUGGUGACUGAAGUGGCUUAGAGCCUUGUCCCAACAAGACCUUCGCUGAAUCUGAACCUCUUUCGGGAGGACUCAAGAGUGAUUAGAUCCUGGCAUGCUGGCUCCUGGAAACUUCCAUUUACUCCUUCAUUCAUUCAUCUUGAUACACCCUUGCAUACUUGUGGGUAUUGCAGACGCAGCACUAAAGCACUCCACGAUACGGGCACAGUCCUUACUCUCAAAGAAGAUUGCAUUAGAGGCACAGGGGCACAGAUUAAAAUAGGCCCAGAAGUAGAUAGACUGUAAGAUUUCAUGUGUGGAAGUAUUGUGAUGACAACAAGGGAGGAUGAAGUGACAGAGAAUCCUACAUAGAGAACCUAUAUUAGAGCAAGCAGUCGGAGAAAGCUUCUCCAGGGAGGUGACAUUUGAACUGGGGUUUGAAUGAAGGAGCCAGCCAUGGGGAGAUUGGGGGGAAGAGCGCUCUAGGCCAAGGGAGCAGCUAAUGCAAAGACUCUAAAGCGGGCAGCAUCUUGGGGUGUCUAAAGAACAGAAAGAAGGCCAGUGUGGCUGCUGCAGAGCUGAGCGAACCGCUGAGUGGUGGGAGAUGAGGCCAGAGACACUAGCGGGCUCAGCCCGCCCCCCUCCCCCCCCCGGGCCCAGUCUGGACUUUAGUCCAAGUGCAACGGUGAAUGAACAGAGAUUUAAAGCAGGGGAGUCGAUGAUGUGGUUCUUGUUUUAUGAAGAGCAGUCUGGUUGCUACCUGGAGAAUGCAUUAGAGGGAGGCAACGGCCAAAGCAGAGAGACUAGCGGAAUGGCUAUCGCAGGGCUGUGGGGGGAGAUGUGAUGGCGGUUUUGACUGGUGUAGAUUGUUUUCCUUGGAGACAGACUCUGGAAUUCUGUGAUUUGCAUACAGGUGAUUUCCUGGGGGAUGCGCUCAGGGAUGACACCUGUGGGGGAGUGAGGACAGCAGGCACAACUUCCAACUGUGAACAAGUUGCAACUGAGAGCCCUCAGCCCCCCUCAAGGGAAGCCACCAAGCUGGGAGACGUCCUUGGAGCUGUCCUAAAUGGAAGCCAGAGGGUCAGGCUUUCAGACCGUAGACUCAACCAGUCCCUGGACGACGGGGUGUGGGCCUGGGGAGGGAACGUAGCCUCAAACAAAAGAGGGUUCUCUUCAACGGAGAGGAAUUCCUGGAGAAGGACGCCACCACUGGAGGAUCGGGUGCCCUGGGCAUGCUAUGAAGUAUCCACAGGUGGUAGCUACAGACAUGUAGAGAAUCUGGCAAAGCCAGAUUAUAAUUUCUAGGUAGAACCAGCGGAAGUCAUAGUUGGCCUCACUGUAAGACAAAACAUGGGAGGAAUCAAAGGUGGCUCCCAAGUAUCUGGUUUGAGCACUGGGGAAGAUGGUGUUCCCAUUCCUGAGACGGGGCACCGAUUUCUGGAAGAAAUUAAGAGCUCAGCUUUGGCCAUGUGCCAUCCCAGAGUCCUGACAGACGUCCGCGGAGUGUUGACAACUAUGCAGCCUGACAGGUGAGCAUGAGGCUCAGUCAAGGCUGAGGACCUAGUUUGGGAAACUCCUGGUCAUCCAGCAAGUAGAGGAUGUGUAGCCUGCCAGAGACACUGAAGAAAGGCCAUUGAAGUGGGAGAGAAUUGAGAAGAGUGGGUGUCCCAGAAGCCAAGAGAGGAGCCAUUUUAAGGAAGAGGGAGGAGCUGUCAGGGUUGAGUGCCAAUGAGGGGCAACCGUUGGAUUUGGCGGGACGGGGACCACCAGGUAAUCUUGCCAAGAGGACUUUUGGUGGGAUGGUGGGAAUGGAAGCCCAGGUAGAAAAGGUGAGAGGGAGAAUCAGAGGGGGAGACGUGAUUACAGCAGUUGUAGGCAAUUAUUUGUUUGACCUAUCUCGCUGUACAGACAAGCAGGGAAAUGGGACAAUGCUUGGAGCAAGGUGUCUGGCCAAUUAUAGGGGUUUUCAAAAGAUGUCAUUCCAGAACAUGCACAUCUGUAGGUGAGGAGGAUUGUGGAGAGCGGCAAGAGGGAAGGAAGGUGCAAAGCCCUGAGGAAGAAACAGAAUUGGACAGACUGAGGGAGGCGGUGGAGAGGCAAGUUUCAUUUAAAUUGAAAGGCGACCUUUGUAACAGCCGGAAGCAUCCAGCCGGAAGGAAGUGAACACCACUUCACCAGAAGAGUGUGGUGGAAUGUUCCGGUCUCCAUCAGAGGGAAUCAGCCCCACGCGUGCGUUCCCACAGCAUUUGGCUCACGAUCCCAUCAGAGCACCUGCCUCGAUGCGUCUGGUCCCAGGUCCGGCCCCCUUUGGGUCGGAAGCUCCUUGAGGACAGGAGCAUUGUCUAGCCCCUGUCGCUGCAGUCUCCAUCAGCCCCAUGCAAGGGAGGGGGCAUUCAAAGGGAAGCCCUGCAGCGAUGGCCCAGCCUUACGACUGCCUGCACCUCAAAAAGAACCCCAGGAGAGCCGAGUUCCUGAGGACAGCAAUACUUUUUCAGGGAGCCAGCUGGGGCCACUGACCCUCUUCAAAAGCCCUGCCUAAGGCCGCCCUGGGACCCACCCUCAAGGGACUUGCUCCGAGGACAAGUCUGAGACCCCGUCUGUGGCAGCCGUGGCAUGGCUCAGCCACCACGGCUGUCCCCUGAGCACGGUCCCACCAACACUCUCUUUGGGAGCCACGUGGGACCGAAUGCCGGUUUGCAUUUCCAAGCCCCGAUCGUAUACGCGAUAGAGGCUCGUGCAGCCGUUUAACACAAAGCUGCCGCUCUGUAUUUAUUGACAUGGAAAGAUGUCCACAACAUAUUGUCGAGAGAAAAAAGCGUUUUACACCACAGCCUGUGGCG